GCAAAUUAUUAAUUGAAGCUUGAAGAGAAGCAAUUCAAGAUGAAAAUUGAAGGACAGGAAUCUACGUAUGCAGUAAAAGAUAAAAACCAUAGGCCUUCAUCCCAUUUCCUCUACAAGUCGUAAGGGAUGGAAACUCUUGAAGUCUUUGCACCUGCAGACUUCAGUCUUGAACAAUUCAAGAGCAAGUACAUGGGACGGAUCAUAAAGACUGGAAAGAAAAAGGGCAGAUGAUAAAGUCAAAGUCAAAAUGAAAAAAAAAAAAUGAUGGAAGCCGCUUUUUGUGGUUUGUGUUUGUUGUUUUUUAGUUAUAAAACAGAAAAUGAAAAUAAAAAACAAGUGCUCCAACCAAUUUUAUUUUAUUUUUAAGAAAAAAAAAUGCAAAUUACAAAAACGCAACCAUCCCAAAUGCACCCUUAGUCAUCCCAUUUUACAGUUAGUAAUCUUUGGACGGGAUUGGACAACGUGCAAAAAUAAUGAUAACACUUUUAUCCUGUAUUAUGGUUGGAGUAUAAUAAGGGUGUAAAAGAACCAAACUGCUCGCGAGCUACUCGAGACUCGGCUCGAUAAAAAUUCAGCUUGGUUUAGUUUGUUUUCUAAAUAAGCCAAGCUCGAACUCGAAUUUUAGACUCGUUUAAUAAACAAGCCGAGCUCGAGCUCAUUAGUAUUUGGCUCAAGCUCGAGUUCGAGCUCGGCUCGUUUAUAAACUCGCGAGUCAGCUCGUUAAACGGACUCCUAAGGCUCGUUGAAUAGGCUUGUAAUAAAGCUCAUAAACAGGCUCAUUUAUAAGUUUGUGAGCUUACUAGUUUACAAAAACAUUUAUAU
rnacentral:misc_RNA from 1 species